rnacentral:rRNA from 1 species
UACGAAGGGGGCUAGCGUUGCUCGGAAUCACUGGGCGUAAAGCGCACGUAGGCGGAUUGUUAAGUCAGGGGUGAAAUCCUGGAGCUCAACUCCAGAACUGCCUUUGAUACUGGCGAUCUCGAGUCCGGGAGAGGUGAGUGGAACUCCGAGUGUAGAGGUGAAAUUCGUAGAUAUUCGCAAGAACACCAGUGGCGAAGGCGGCUCACUGGCCCGGUACUGACGCUGAGGCACGAAAGCGUGGGUAGCAAACAGG